UACGGAGGGUGCAAGCGUUGUCCGGAAUUAUUGGGCGUAAAGAGCUCGUAGGCGGUCUGUCGCGUCUGCUGUGAAAACUCGGGGCUUAACCCCGGGCCUGCAGUGGGUACGGGCAGACUAGAGUGCGGUAGGGGAGACUGGAAUUCCUGGUGUAGCGGUGAAAUGCGCGAUAUCAGGAGGAACACCGGUGGCGAAGGCGGGUCUCUGGGCCGUUACUGACGCUGAGGAGCGAAAGCGUGGGGAGCGAACAGGG
rnacentral:rRNA from 1 species